CCUCACCAUUUUACUCUCUGCUUUACAAAGAAAUUCCGUCUCACUUCUUCUAUAACCAAAAUACCACCGCCAUGAGCCAAGAUUGAGAGAACAAUAUCAACAUAUACCAUUUUCUCUUCCAUCAUUCGCUGAAAACCAGCUGCAAUUUCAAAGUUAUUGUUUGCAAAAAGCUUGCGUUUUGACCUAAUUCGAGAUUUGGGUUCUUAGAUCGAUGCAGUAUGACACAACUGACAUCAGUAUCUUCUUCCUUCUCUUAUUCUUAUGGUAGUUUUAUUGGUGAUUUGGCGUUGGUUAGUUGUAGGAGAGAAGGAAGCGGUGGUGGGGUGGAGGAGGAGGUGGAUGUGGGAAUUCAAGAGUCGAGGUGGUGGUGGAGGAGAUCGGGGAUGGGGUCUUGGUGGAGAAGGUCAUUGAGGUGUUAGAAGAAGGGAUGGUGAUUUUCUGCAGGAUACUAUGCUCGGCUGCUCUCAUGAACAUAUGGGGCUGUUUCAUCUCCAGCCUUUGCGGAGAUUGGUUUAUUGCUGGGAUAAAAGCUAUUAGCGGAGAAUGGCCUCACAUACACUCC